UAAGGGAAGUCGAUAAGGAAUAAUUAGCUUAAUCUGUCAGGUCCGAAAGGAAGCAGCAGGAGUUAGGGAUUUCUGUAUUAACUUCCCUUUUUU
rnacentral:SRP_RNA from 1 species